rnacentral:rRNA from 1 species
UUGAAGAGUUUGAUCAUGGCUCAGAUUGAACGCUGGCGGCAGGCCUAACACAUGCAAGUCGAGCGGUAGCACAGAGAGCUUGCUCUCGGGUGACGAGCGGCGGACGGGUGAGUAAUGUCUGGGAAACUGCCUGAUGGAGGGGGAUAACUACUGGAAACGGUAGCUAAUACCGCAUAAUGUCGCAAGACCAAAGUGGGGGACCUUCUGGCCUCAUGCCAUCAGAUGUGCCCAGAUGGGAUUAGCUAGUAGGUGGGGUAACGGCUCACCUAGGCGACGAUCCCUAGCUGGUCUGAGAGGAUGACCAGCCACACUGGAACUGAGACACGGUCCAGACUCCUACGGGAGGCAGCAGUGGGGAAUAUUGCACAAUGGGCGCAAGCCUGAUGCAGCCAUGCCGCGUGUGUGAAGAAGGCCUUCGGGUUGUAAAGCACUUUCAGCGGGGAGGAAGGCGAUAAGGUUAAUAACCUCAUCGAUUGACGUUACCCGCAGAAGAAGCACCGGCUAACUCCGUGCCAGCAGCCGCGGUAAUACGGAGGGUGCAAGCGUUAAUCGGAAUUACUGGGCGUAAAGCGCACGCAGGCGGUCUGUCAAGUCGGAUGUGAAAUCCCCGGGCUCAACCUGGGAACUGCAUUCGAAACUGGCAGGCUAGAGUCUUGUAGAGGGGGGUAGAAUUCCAGGUGUAGCGGUGAAAUGCGUAGAGAUCUGGAGGAAUACCGGUGGCGAAGGCGGCCCCCUGGACAAAGACUGACGCUCAGGUGCGAAAGCGUGGGGAGCAAACAGGAUUAGAUACCCUGGUAGUCCACGCCGUAAACGAUGUCGAUUUGGAGGUUGUGCCCUUGAGGCGUGGCUUCCGGAGCUAACGCGUUAAAUCGACCGCCUGGGGAGUACGGCCGCAAGGUUAAAACUCAAAUGAAUUGACGGGGGCCCGCACAAGCGGUGGAGCAUGUGGUUUAAUUCGAUGCAACGCGAAGAACCUUACCUGGUCUUGACAUCCACAGAACUUUCCAGAGAUGGAUUGGUGCCUUCGGGAACUGUGAGACAGGUGCUGCAUGGCUGUCGUCAGCUCGUGUUGUGAAAUGUUGGGUUAAGUCCCGCAACGAGCGCAACCCUUAUCCUUUGUUGCCAGCGGUUAGGCCGGGAACUCAAAGGAGACUGCCAGUGAUAAACUGGAGGAAGGUGGGGAUGACGUCAAGUCAUCAUGGCCCUUACGACCAGGGCUACACACGUGCUACAAUGGCAUAUACAAAGAGAAGCGACCUCGCGAGAGCAAGCGGACCUCAUAAAGUAUGUCGUAGUCCGGAUUGGAGUCUGCAACUCGACUCCAUGAAGUCGGAAUCGCUAGUAAUCGUAGAUCAGAAUGCUACGGUGAAUACGUUCCCGGGCCUUGUACACACCGCCCGUCACACCAUGGGAGUGGGUUGCAAAAGAAGUAGGUAGCUUAACCUUCGGGAGGGCGCUUACCACUUUGUGAUUCAUGACUGGGGUGAAGUCGUAACAAGGUAACCGUAGGGGAACCUGCGGUUGGAUCACCUCCUU